ACGCUUCUAAGGACGUAGCCAAGGUGCUCGUUGGCAACAAAGCUGACAAGGAAG
rnacentral:snRNA from 1 species